rnacentral:lncRNA from 1 species
CGAGUCCCUGGGUUGCUUUCUGGGGGUCUGUGGUGCUGGGUGUGCUAUCUGCGUCUGAUUCUCUAGCGAGAGAUUGUGGGCGAGUUACCGAGUGGGCAAGGGGCUGUCACUGUGUGUGCGUGAUUGUGACGGUGUGUGGUGGUCGCUUCUGACUCCGCGUGGGUCGUUGAAUGUGUGACUGGGACCGUUUAGCGGUGGAUACACAACUGUGUGCGGCUGUGGAAGAUUCCCUCAUCGGUUAAGUUCCCAUUUCCGUGGAAAAACAGUUUUACCAGAAGGUUUCGAAGGAACUUUAAAGUUUGGAAGCGUAAGAGUUUAUCUGGCAGCUUUGGUGUCAUCAAGUGUGAAAAGCCCUGGACUUUACACAUCUAGUAUGAUCGGGAGUCUGAGUACCAGAUGCUGGUCAGGACCUGUUAUGCUGGGUCUCAGAAUGCGGAAACCCUCCUUGUCCGAGGUGGAACAGUUUGUCCUUGAGUCAGGCCGGGAGUCCUGAGUGACUCUUUUGAUUUGAUCCUGUUUCCCUCAGACCUGAGAUGGGGGCCUCACUGUAUUGCCCAGGCUGGUCUUGAACUCCUGAGCUCAAGUGAUCGUCUUGCUUCAGCCUUCCAAAAUGAUGGUGAAGCUGCAUCAUUGUCUGGGGUAAAUACCUGAGGUUCGUUGUCUCACGCCAAGGGAAUCAAGGAUGUGGACACACAAGAAAUGGGGUCCCUACCUGACCGGGCCAUGUUGUAUGUUCCGUACUGUACACGUGGUUGACAAAGAAAAGGGAAGAUGGAGCUGUGAUGUUGGACAUGCCUGGCCCCCAGGCAGCUUUUUCCUAUUGGCACAGCUGCUGGCAUUUACCCGUGCAAACUUCCAGCUUGCUUAUGUAUGUCUGCAGCUUGAUUUUUCAGGCUGCUCUUUGUUAGGAAAGAAAUGACUUGGGGGCUGCUUUUCAUUAAAAGGAAAACCUUACUGAGGAUUUCCUUACCCUCACUGUCUGCCUAAAUAAUUUCUUUUUAACUCCUAUGUCACUUGGGAUUACAGGCAUGAGCCGCUGUGCCUGCUAGAGGGUUUUUUAUCUUUAUUCCUCAAGAUUUUGCAUUUAGAUAAUUAUGUUAAACUUGGGUGUGCUAGGUAGACAUAUGUCUGCUGAUUACCCGUUUGGGAAGAAUGUGGAUUCCUAUGUAGGGAAAAGGAGUCAGGCUGGUGGGACCAGGGGAAAGCAAAGAGAUAAAACAAAUAAGCUAUAGAUCUGCAUUUUCUUCAUGGUCCAGGAUAUAUAAACAAAAAAAGGAAGCAGAUAAGCUAUAGGCUUGCUUUUCUUUAUGACCCAGGACAUACAGCCCUCCUGAGCAAAUAAUGAACAUAACUCACAAACUUCCUGUUUAUCAUCAAACGCACGCAUCCACUUUCAUCAAACACCUCGGUUGACAGAAGAAUGCAGGUUAGCUCCCUGCUGCCUUGGCAUUAUCAAUCAGCCCAGGAACCAUCCUAUAAAACGUCCAGCAAGCCUUUGUUUCCUUGCAGUCAGCUCCUCUGCCACUGAUUCUGCCUGUUGCUCCCUGAUAACAUACUUUGAUACUGUCUUAAAUAAAUCUGCCUUUCUUC